rnacentral:rRNA from 1 species
UGGGGAAUAUUGCACAAUGGGCGCAAGCCUGAUGCAGCCAUGCCGCGUGUAUGAAGAAGGCCUUCGGGUUGUAAAGUACUUUCAGUCGGGAGGAAGGUGGUAAGGUUAAUAACCUUAUCAAUUGACGUUACCGACAGAAGAAGCACCGGCUAACUCCGUGCCAGCAGCCGCGGUAAUACGGAGGGUGCAAGCGUUAAUCGGAAUUACUGGGCGUAAAGCGCUCGCAGGCGGUUGAUUGAGUCAGAUGUGAAAUCCCCGGGCUUAACCCGGGAAUUGCAUCUGAUACUGGUCAGCUAGAGUCUUGUAGAGGGGGGUAGAAUUCCAUGUGUAGCGGUGAAAUGCGUAGAGAUGUGGAGGAAUACCGGUGGCGAAGGCGGCCCCCUGGACAAAGACUGACGCUCAGGUGCGAAAGCGUGGGGAGCAAACAGG